CAAACAUUUCUUUAAACCCCAAACUUUAAAUACUAAAUGGGCUUCAUGGCUGCCAUUUUGAAAAACAUUAGUUUGCCAAAGGACCCUUUUGAUUCCUAUUGGAAAAGCGAGCGCUCACAGAUAAUCCAUUGAGAAUCCAAACCCCCACAAAAGGCUCCCUGAAACAAUCGCGGCGCUGCUGAAGGACAACAUUUUUGUGCCCAAAAGAAAACAUUUUAACGCGCUACAAUCCAUGACACAUAUAUUCCUCCAUUUCCUUUCAGUAAUUAUUCAUUAGAAAACAUUUAACGUCACUGCGGAUUUCACACUGGGCAGUCUGCACACAAAGGAGAAGAGUUGGCCCAUUUAGAAGGGGCUGAGGCCGCCUUUUCUCAUCCCAGGAGCUCCAAGGCGGAGGGGGCUGCCGGACACAAGGGGCCGGCUAAAUUGUGCGGUUAACGGUCAAAGCCCCCCUGCCUACUUUGACACUCAUUUAAAGAUGACGGGGAACAAUAGAGAUUUGUUCUUAGCAACUCUUUCUUGUGCCACAGGGUCCCCGUCGGCCGCGCCGGGCGCUCCGAGGCCUGCGAGCGGGGCCGAGGCCUGGGCCCACCUGCCCCCAGCGCUCCCCACUUUAACACAACGAGACAGGAAGGGCCCUUCUGCUGUCUCAGCUUGUUUCACACACACAGAGAUGCUGCCCAGAACUCCGUGCUCGUCCCUGCACCCCAGACAUGCUGGAUGAGUGAGGAAAGCAGCAGCAAUUCCACUUCCCUGGGGAAAUUUAGGACCAGGUGGAAGGUGUGCCGAGGAGACCACAGGAAUUUUACCCUCGUCCAGUUCCUCAGGAGGCAGCUCUGGACAGAGAAUGUCAAGGUUACCUGGAUGUCCAUCCUGUAAAAGCCAUGCCCAGGUUUUGGGAUGGGAUUUGAUGGAGAUUGCAGAGCACCACACCAAGACUGUGACCCCUGUCCAAAGAGCCCAGCUCCAGAACCUUGGGACUGAGGUGGAAGAAUUUGAAGAAGAUUGAGAAUUUUCCUCAAUUGACAUUGAGGAAAACUAAACUGGGCUGUUUAAGAAACCAGCCUGCACCUGUGUUAGAGGUGCAGAAUUUUCCCUGGAAGUUUUCCUAAAGUCUAUGACAAGAGAAAAUCAUUAGCAUACACCAAGAAACCUGCACCUUAUAAUUUUUUUAUAAACCUUCCCAUUUUUUCCACUAAAAAAUGGGAAAGUUUAUAACAAAUAAACCUUCUUGGAAAAAAUAAAUAAGUAGCUGGAUCUAUCCUGGAGUUCCAUCUGUCAUCUCCUCUGUCAAGAUUUCAUUAUCAUGCAAGUGAGAUGUCACCCCAGUCCCAGCUUCCAAGAUAUUUCUGUGCUGAAGUCCAGAAAUGCUAUUAGCCAGGAGAGAAGGGAGCUUUAGGAGCACACAGGAAUCAAGGAGAAAAGUUGCUCUUACCCCCCGUUGUCCAGGAUAAACUCAAUAUAUGUUUCUGCACCAGGAAGUUUGGGAAAUGAGUUCUGAUAUUUGUGACCGAAUUGCAUCGGUUGUGUGCUUUAUAAAAAUAUGAUUUUCAGAUCAUUAUCCCAUCAUUUAACCUAUAGAAAUGCACCACUCAAAUACAUACUA